GUGAAUUAAGUAUUAAGUAUAUAUCAUUUACAAUGAUAAGGUCUACUAAGUAGAAUUCAUU
rnacentral:tRNA from 1 species